UACGUAGGGGGCUAGCGUUGUCCGGAAUCAUUGGGCGUAAAGAGCGUGUAGGCGGCCCGGUAAGUCCGCUGUGAAAGUCGGGGGCUCAACCCUCGAAAUGCCGGGUGGAUACUGUCGGGGCUAGAGUGCGGAAGAGGCGAGUGGAAUUCCUGGUGUAGGCGGUGAAAUGCGCAGACAUCAGGAGGAACACCGGUGGCGAAGGCGGCUCGCUGGGCCAGUUCUGACACUCAUCCGCGAAAGCGUGGGGAGCAAACAGG
rnacentral:rRNA from 1 species